CGUAGGGUGCGAGCGUUAAUCGGAAUUACUGGGCGUAAAGCGUGCGCAGGCGGUUUUGCAAGACAGAUGUGAAAUCCCCGGGCUCAACCUGGGAACUGCGCUUGUGACUGCAAGGCUAGAGUACGGCAGAGGGGGGUGGAAUUCCACGUGUAGCAGUGAAAUGCGUAGAGAUGUGGAGGAACACCAAUGGCGAAGGCAGCCCCCUGGGUCGAUACUGACGCUCAUGCACGAAAGCGUGGGUAGCAAACAGGAUUAGAUACCCUGGUAGUCCACGCCCUAAACGAUGUCAACUAGGUGUUGGGUGGGUAAAACCAUUUAGUACCGGAGCUAACGCGUGAAGUUGACCGCCUGGGGAGUACGGCCGCAAGGUUA
rnacentral:rRNA from 1 species